GGGCCCGCACAAGCAGCGGAGCAUGUGGUUUAAUUCGAAGCAACGCGAAGAACCUUACCUAGACUUGACAUCUCCUGCAUUACUCUUAAUCGAGGAAGUCCCUUCGGGGACAGGAUGACAGGUGGUGCAUGGUUGUCGUCAGCUCGUGUCGUGAGAUGUUGGGUUAAGUCCCGCAACGAGCGCAACCCUUAUUGUUAGUUGCCAUCAUUAAGUUGGGCACUCUAGCGAGACUGCCCGGGUUAACCGGGAGGAAGGUGGGGAUGACGUCAAAUCAUCAUGCCCCUUAUGUCUAGGGCUACACACGUGCUACAAUGGUCGGUACAAUAAGACGCAAGCCCGCGAGGGGGAGCAAAACUGGAAAACCGAUCUCAGUUCGGAUUGUAGGCUGAAACUCGCCUACAUGAAGCUGGAGUUGCUAGUAAUCGCGAAUCAGCAUGUCGCGGUGAAUACGUUCCCGGGCCUU
rnacentral:rRNA from 1 species